CCUACGGGUGGCAGCAGUGACGAAUAUUGGUCAAUGGACGAGAGUCUGAACCAGCCAAGUAGCGUGAAGGAUGACUGCCCUAUGGGUUGUAAACUUCUUUUAUAUGGGCAUAAAACGUUCCACGUGUGGGAUUUUGUAUGUACCAUAUGAAUAAGGAUCGGCUAACUCCGUGCCAGCAGCCGCGGUAAUACGGAGGAUCCGAGCGUUAUCCGGAUUUAUUGGGUUUAAAGGGAGCGUAGGUGGAUUGUUAAGUCAGUUGUGAAAGUUUGCGGCUCAACCGUAAAAUUGCAGUUGAAACUGGCAGUCUUGAGUACAGUAGAGGUGGGCGGAAUUCGUGGUGUAGCGGUGAAAUGCUGAGAUAUCACGAAGAACUCCGAUUGCGAAGGCAGUUCACUGGACUGCAACUGACACUGAGGCUCGAAAGUGUGGGUAUCAAACAGGAUUAGAUACCCGAGUAGUC
rnacentral:rRNA from 1 species